GAGGUUCUGCGCGGGUGCGGAAGACGGGCGGCGCGUGGCGGAAGGCAGGCUUGCUCCUCGGGGUGGGGGAGGGUAUCCGGCUUAACGGGGCUGCGGUGGACGCCACUUCUUAAUGUCGGGGGUCUUCGCGGCGCUCACCUCGGCUCCUGGGGUUCGGGACGGUACGCAGCAGACACCUUCGCGCCGAAGGCGGUAGGGCGCCACGGAAAGGAACCGCUGUAGGCACGUAAGGCCUCGUGAGGUUGCGUCGCGCGCGGAGCCCUCUGGGACUUGUAGUUCUGGAGAUGGAGCGAGCUGUGCCGCUCGUGGUGCCUCUGGGUCAGACAGAGGUGUUCCAGGCCUUGCAGCGGCUCCAUAUGACCAUCUUCUCCCAGAGCGUCUCACCAUGUGGGAAGUUUCUGGCGGCUGGCAACAAUUAUGGGCAGAUUGCCAUCUUCAGGUACCCUCUGCCGCUGUCCACCCAUUAGCCCUGGCACUUGGCCCUCAUGGGACAGAUGCCCCUGUUUCUGACUCCUGGGUCCCCUCCGCUGUCCCCUGCAGCUUGUCUGCUGCUUUGAGCUCAGAAGCCAAAGAGGAAAGUAAGAAACCGGUGGUGACUUUCCAAGGUGGGUAUAGCUGUGGAGUCUGGCUUCAGGACUUUGGGUGGGAUUGGCUCACUCAGUUCUGCAUUUCUCUUUAGCCCAUGAUGGGCCUGUCUAUAGCAUGGUUUCCACCGAUCGACAUCUGCUUAGUGCUGGGGAUGGGGAGGUGAAGGCCUGGCUUUGGGCGGAGAUGCUCAAGAAGGUAAGGAGUCGAGCUUGGGAAAGGGCUUGGGUGCCUGGACCCAGAGAGAGCCUUUGAGGUCACCUGGUAUUUUCCCUUUUGAAGGGCUGUAAGGAGCUGUGGCGUCGUCAGCCUCCAUACAGGUGAGCCAGGGCCACGUGGAUAGAGGGUGCAUCAGGGUGAAGCCACUUCCUCACUGACCUUGCCUUUCCUUCCCCAGGACCAGCCUGGAAGUGCCCGAGAUCAAUGCUUUGCUGCUGGUCCCCAAGGAGAAUUCCCUCAUCCUGGCUGGGGGAGACUGUCA
rnacentral:sRNA from 1 species